rnacentral:rRNA from 1 species
AGAGUUUGAUCCUGGCUCAGGAUGAACGCUAGCUACAGGCUUAACACAUGCAAGUCGAGGGGCAGCAUGGUCUUAGCUUGCUAAGGCUGAUGGCGACCGGCGCACGGGUGAGUAACGCGUAUCCAACCUUCCCCUUAGUAGGGCAUAGCCCGGCGAAAGUCGGAUUAAUACCCUAUGUUUUCCAAUGAGGACAUCUGAGCUGGAACAAAGAUUGAUCGCUAAGGGAUGGGGAUGCGUCUGAUUAGGUAGUAGGCGGGGUAACGGCCCACCUAGCCUACGAUCAGUAGGGGUUCUGAGAGGAAGGUCCCCCACAUUGGAACUGAGACACGGUCCAAACUCUACGGGAGGCAGCAGUGAGGAAUAUUGGUCAAUGGACGGGAGUCUGAACCAGCCAAGUAGCGUGCAGGAUGACGGCCCUAUGGGUUGUAAACUGCUUUUAUGCGGGGAUAAAGUGAGGGACGUGUCCCUUUUUGUAGGUACCGCAUGAAUAAGGACCGGCUAAUUCCGUGCCAGCAGCCGCGGUAAUACGGAAGGUCCGGGCGUUAUCCGGAUUUAUUGGGUUUAAAGGGAGCGCAGGCUGAUUGUUAAGCGUGACGUGAAAUGUAGCCGCUCAACGGCUGAACUGCGUCGCGAACUGGCAGUCUUGAGUGAGUACGACGUCAGCGGAAUUCGUGGUGUAGCGGUGAAAUGCUUAGAUAUGACGAAGAACUCCGAUUGCGAAGGCAGCUGACUGUAGCGUUACUGACGCUGAAGCUCGAAGGUGCGGGUAUCGAACAGGAUUAGAUACCCUGGUAGUCCGCACAGUAAACGAUGGAUGCUCGUUGUUCGCCCAUUUGAGGGUGAGUGACUUAGGGAAACCGUUAAGCAUCCCACCUGGGGAGUACGCCGGCAACGGUGAAACUCAAAGGAAUUGACGGGGGCCCGCACAAGCGGAGGAACAUGUGGUUUAAUUCGAUGAUACGCGAGGAACCUUACCCGGGCUUGAACUGUAGGAGAACGAUUCAGAGAUGAUGAGGUCUUCGGGACUCCUAUGGAGGUGCUGCAUGGUUGUCGUCAGCUCGUGCC